UACAGGGGGGGCAAGCGUUGUUCGGAAUUACUGGGCGUAAAGGGUCUGUAGGUGGCCAACUAAGUCAGACGUGAAAUCCCUCAGCUUAACUGGGGAACUGCGUCUGAUACUGGAUGGCUUGAGUGUGGGAGAGGAAUGCGGAAUUCCAGGUGUAGCGGUGAAAAUGCGUAGAUAUCUGGAGGAACACCGGUGGCGAAGGCGGCAUUCUGGACCAUAAACUGACGCUGAUGCACGAAAGCUAGGGGAGCAAACAGG
rnacentral:rRNA from 1 species